AUUGAACGCUGGCGGCAGGCCUAACACAUGCAAGUCGAGCGAGCGGAGGACGGGUGAGUAAUGUCUGGGAAACUGCCUGAUGGAGGGGGAUAACUCCUGGAAACGGUAGCUAAUACCGCAUACAAUCUGAUGUGCCCAGAUGGGCUUAGCUAGUGGGUUGGGUAACGGCUCACCGAGGCGACGAUCCCUAGCUGGUCUUAAAGGAUGACCGGCCACACUGGAACUGAGACACUGGCCAGACACCUACGGUAGGCAUCAGUGGGGAAUAUUGCACAAUGGGCGCAAGCCUGAUGCAGCCAUGCCGCGUGUGUGAAGAAGGCCUUCGGGUUGUAAAGCACUUUCAGCGGGGAGGCGUUACCCGCAGAAGAAGCACCGGCGAACUCCGUGCCAGCAACCGCGGUAAUAC
rnacentral:rRNA from 1 species